rnacentral:rRNA from 1 species
UACGUAGGGAGCAAGCGUUGUCCGGAAUCAUUGGGCGUAAAGCGCGCGUAGGUGGCUAUGUAAGUCCGUUGUGAAAGUCAAAGGCUCAACCUUUGAAAGCCGAUGGAUACUGCAUAGCUAGAGUACGGAAGAGGCGAGUGGAAUUCCUGGUGUAGCGGUGGAAUGCGCAGAUAUCAGGAGGAACACCAAUAGCGAAGGCAGCUCGCUGGGACGUUACUGACACUGAGGCGCGAAAGCGUGGGGGAGCGAACAGG